AGGGUGGGACUACUGCUUGUAUUUGGUGAGACUGCCAAACUUGGACCUUUGGACUGAACUUUGACUGUCAGUCUCCUUUACCUUUGUUGGACUGAUUCUUGUUGAUGAGCAUGGACUUUUUGAUAUUCAGACAGUGAGCGGCAGAGUUUGCAGGGACUUAAGUGGUAUGGGCGGAGACUACACCCUCAUGUGAUAGCUCAGUAAAUGGAAGAUUUGUCUAGAAACAGAUGGAGUCCAUCACGUGAGACGGGGUGAAUAAAUAAUUAUUUUUUCUUUAAACUGGAAAGGCACCAAAUGCUAAGAUAAGAAGAUGAUUCUCUCUGCUUUCUGCCUCAAAUGGGAAGACGUCUUCAUGGAACUUCACUGGAUUUUUGGUAACUUGAUGAGACGCUUUUGAACUCUGGUGCUGGAGGAAUAUCCUGAGAGUGCCUUGGACCGCAAGAAGAUCCAACCAGUCCAUCCUCCAGGAAAUAAUGCCCGGCUGCUCCCUGGAGGGAAGGAUAUUAGAGGCAAAGAUGAAGUAUUUUGGCCACAUCAUGAGGAGACAGGAAAACUUGGAAAAGAUCACGAUGCUGGGGGAAAAGGAAGGAAAAAAGAAGAGAGGCCGACCAAAUGAGAUAGUUCCUCUUGCCCUAUCCUUGAUCGUCCCUGUACUUCCCAUGAAUCCUACUUAGUCCUGCACUAGUUAACCCUCGCAUGCUGUAUUUGUGGCCAGGUUUGAAAGUAAUUGUUGUGUUUUAUGUGUUUUAUGCUGUUUUUCUAUUUAUUUUGUUUAUAUUGUUUUAACUCAUGUAGUGUUUUUUAACCUAUGUUACUAUGUUCCUUCGGGGAGGAUACAAGAAUAAAGCUGUCAUUAUUAUUA